rnacentral:rRNA from 1 species
GUGCCAGCCGCCGCGGUAAUACGGAGGAUCCGAGCGUUAUCCGGAUUUAUUGGGUUUAAAGGGUGCGCAGCGGCAUGCUAAGUCAGCGGUUAAAUAGCGAGGCUCAACCUCGUCCCGCCGUUGAUACUGGCAAGCUUGAUUGCGGUCGAGGUUGGCGGAAUUCGCCGUGUAGCGUGAAAUGCAUAGAUAUGGCGAAGAACUCCGAUUGCGUAGGCAGCUGACCAGGCCGUAAAUGACGCUCAUGCACGAAGUGCGGGGAUCGAACAGGAUUAGAUACCCUGGUAGUCCGCACAGUAAACGAUGAAUACUUGUUUUUGGCGAUAUAGUGUCAGAGGCAAAGCGAAAGCAUAAGUAUUCCACCUGGGGAGUACGCCGGCAACGGUGAAACUCAAAGGAAUUGACGGGGGCCCGCACAAGCGGAGGAACAUGUGGUUUAAUUCGAUGCUACGCGAGGAACCUUACCCGGGCUUGAAAGUUAGAGACGGCCGAUGAAAGUUGGCUUUCCUUCGGGACUCGAAACUAGGUGCUGCAUGGUUGUCGUCAGCUCGUGCCGUGAGUGUCGGCUUAAGUGCCAUAACGAGCGCAACCCUUCUCGGUAGUUACCAUCAUUCAGUUGGGGACUCUACCGAUACUGCCAUCGUAAGAUGUGAGGAAGGAUGGGAUGACGUCAAAUCAGCACGGCCCUUACGUCCGGGGCGACACACGUGUUACAAUGGGGAGGACAGAGAGAAUCGAGGUAGUGAUACUGAGGCAAUCUAUAAACCUUCUCCCAGUUCGGAUUGGAGUCUGCAACCCGACUCCAUGAAGCUGGAUUCGAUAGUAAUCGCGCAUCAGCCAUGGCGCGGUGAAUACGUUCCCGGGCCUUGUACACACCGCCCGU